rnacentral:rRNA from 1 species
GACGAACCGUACAAACGUUAUUCGGAAUCAUUGGGCGUAAAGCGGGUGUAGGCGGACUUAUAAGUCAGGUGUGAAAUCCCAGGGCUCAACCCUGGAAGUGCACUUGAUACUGUAAGUCUUGAAUGUGGUAGAGGUUACUGGAAUUCUUGGUGUAGUGGUGAAAUACGUAGAUAUCAAGAGGAACACCGGAGGCGAAGGCGGGUAACUGGGCCAACAUUGACGCUGAGACCCGAAAGCGUGGGGAUCAAACAGG